rnacentral:rRNA from 1 species
CAGCCGUAAACAAUGUGCGUUAGGUGUGUCGGUAACCACGCGUUACUGAUGCGCCGAAGAGAAAUCGUGAAACGCACCACCUGAGAAGUACGGUCGCAAGGCUGAAACUUAAAGGAAUUGGCGGGGGAGCACCACAACAGGUGGAGCCUGCGGUUUAAUUGGAUUCAACGCCGGACAUCUCACCGGAUAAGACAGCUGAAUGAUUGUCAAUCUGAAGGUUUUACAUGACUAGCUGAGAGGAGGUGCAUGGCGUCAGUGACU